GCACAGCAAGCCCUCUUCCCAUCUGCUGUUGGAGACCCUGACGGGAUUCCCCUCGCUUUGUCGACACAGUGAUGCCUCCUCCAACCUCCUGGAAUCUGUCUCACUCUCUUCCCCGGCGAAGACUGCUAACGACGAGUGAACGCCCUUUCUCAUAUUGACAUAUUGACAAACUUGACCUCUGGGAAAGCGACCCAGCUUCCAGCUCUCCAUCUGGUGGCCAGGGCUGUCUAUCCCCCACACGUCUGACACAGGAGCUUCCCACUCUGUUUUCCUCUCUUCGUCGGACGGGGGAGGCCUGCUCUGCUCGCCCGGACUCCUCGCUCCUUCAUUGAUCUGCGGGCACUGCCGGUGGCGGGGCUGCCUCGGCGGCUGCAUCACAAAAGCACGGCGCCCACUCAGUAGAUCAGGCUGCUCCUGCUUGGUUCUCCUCUGAGCGUUCCUCGGAAACCCAGGCUCCACCCGGGCUCCCGGAAGCCUGUACAGAGAGAGCACGGCUACGUGUGUGCCUUCGACCACCCGGACCCGGAAGUGCUUGGGGCACUUCCUCUUCCCUUCCAUUGGCACAGCUGACCUCUUCCUGCCCAGGAGGGCCUCAGGGCCUUAGUUUGUCGUAGACUGGCUUCCCACCAAGUCAGACCCCCAGGCGAAGAUUUGGAUGCAAGUAAAUUACAUUGGCGGUGAUGUUAGGAGUCACUCCGAGGCGGGGCCACCGACGGGAGUGUGCCUGACUGAGCAGGCCUCUGAGUCGUCCCGAUGAGGGAUGCUGGCUGGUUGCGUGGAGGAAUGGCGCCCUGUGCAGGCCUCAGCGGAGGUCUUGCUGCUGACAAUUGCGCACUCAGCAGGGGCAGAAGCUAGAGCCGCCCCGGCGAGAGGGGCCUGAGGUCGGCGGGCCGGUGCAGAGUCCCCAGCCUCACCGGCACGCAGCUCUGCUCCCGCACUCAUUGCUCAAACCCUGGGUGAUGAGAGAGAGGCUGGCUGACCCUCUCCAGGCGAGCAUCCCGCCUUCGUGGCUGUGCUCACACCAGUGCCCCCCGGAGACCAUCACCUGCAGGGGAGCCCACCUACCUCUCGCCAAGACCUCCGGGUCCCUGCCCUUCCAAUCCUGCUCCUUUCAAGCCACUUGCCCCUGCCCCAGAGGCACGGUAUACGCUGAUCUUCUGCCGCUUCUGCUGCCACACAGAGUUGAUGACAAGCUUCCUGCUUGAAGCUCUGUCUUUCAGGCCCACCCCCAAGUGAGGGGGGCUGGAGCAUGGUGGGUGCUGUGGUCUUGACGGGCGUGAGUCACUAGGCGGCCAGUGGGUGGGGAGGGGUGGAAAUUACCCGUUAGGAAACCAUGAAUGGCGUGUGCAGAAGGAAGGCCGAGUGGCCCUGCCAUGGAGUAGAGGCAGAAUAGGCUAAACCCCCUCCCGUGGUUUUGUCAUUUAUUGAAUGGUGCAAAUCCACAGCUAUUUUUUUUUUUUAUUGCUCUUGGUAAUGCUUUUAAAAUUUUGCAAUAAACCCAUUCAGUGGCAA